rnacentral:rRNA from 1 species
AUUGAACGCUGGCGGCAGGCCUAACACAUGCAAGUCGAACGAGAGGCGGACGGGUGAGCAAUGUCUGGAAAACUGCCUGACGGAGGGGGAUAACUACGGGAAAAGGUAGCUAAUACCGCAUACCACGAGAUGUGCCCAGAUGGGAUUAGCUUGUUGGUGGGGUAACGGCUCAUCAAGGCGACGAUCCCUAGCUGGUCUGAGAGGAUGACCAGCCACACUGGGACUGAGACACGGUCCAGACUCCUACGGGAGGCAGCAGUAGGGAAUAUUGGACAAUGGGCGCAAGCCUGAUGGAGCAAUGCCGCGUGUAUGAAGAAGGCCUUCGGGUUGUAAAGUACUUUCAGCGGGGAGGCGUUACCCACAGAAGAAGCACCGGCUAACUCCGUGCCAGCAGCCGCGGUAAUAC